AUGUUGAUUGGCAGGGAAACUUCAAAUCUUUCUUUGAGGUUGUCAGAAUCAAGAUCAAAUGCAAAGAUCAUACAAAAAAUUCCACCUGAGAGGCUAUUUGGCAUAGGUGACAAGUUGUUCAGGAUUGGUAUCACGGUAGAACCACCAAUAGAAGACCCAGAAAAUGAUGAUCUGUUGGAGGAUGAACUAUCUGACAAUGCAAAUGGCAACAAGCUGGAGAAAUCCAAAAGAGAGGAGGAAAAUAACAAUAGAGAAAAAGGAAGCACUGGAGGAGGAUCCACUCCCUCCCUCCAAAGCAACAAACCUGGCAACAGCACCUCAAGCCAGAGCUCCAAACAGAAGGUUUUUGACUAUCUGAAGCAACUGCAAGACCCACUCAAUAUGGAGCAAAUUUACAACAUCCAACAAGAGAUGGAACUAGAAGAGGAUGAGGAUGAAAUGGAAGGCAUUCUAACAGAAGAUGGUGAAGCUAUAGUUGAAGAUAAAGAAGAGGUGAUUUUUAGCCCUCAGCUCAACCCAGGAAAUGCCUUCAGUUCUCUGCACUCACAGAAUGAGACAAUGACUCAGCAUGAGUCCAAAGAAGAGAAAAACAAGUGGGGCCCAGUACAAGCUUUCAGGAAGAGCAACAGGGUUGAAGUAGGAGGUAGAUCCAUGUUGGAAAUAGCAGUCAACACCAAGAAAGUGCAAAACUUGGAAGUCACAAAGAAAGACAUUCAAGGUACCAUUAUUAAAAAUUCUUUUGAGCUUUUUAGUAACCCAAAUUUCCUUGAUGUAGCUAAGAAAAUAGGGGUAGAAAUAGAUACUAGCUACAAUAUUCCUGUAGAAACUAGCUCUAGCUUUUCUCUGCCUUUGUCUGAAGGACAAACUGCAAAUACAACUAGUCAAAAAAGUCCUUAUCAAGUAGAAGGGGGACUGAAGGGCCUCCAGACAUCAACAACCUACAGGACUACCCUAGGCUCACAAAAAUCUCUUGGACAAAGGAGCCUGAAGGGCUCCCUACCCAAGAAAGUCUCAUAG
rnacentral:rRNA from 1 species